UACGAAGGGGGCUAGCGUUAAUCGGAAUCACUGGGCGUAAAGCGUCUGUAGGUGGUUUCAAAAGUCCACUGUUAAAGAUUGAAGCUUAACUUCAAAAAUGCCGUGGAAACUUUGAAACUUGAGUAUGAUAGGGGUAGAGGGAAUUUCCAGUGGAGCGGUGAAAUGCGUAGAUAUUGGAAAGACCACCAAUGGCGAAGGCACUUUACUGGGCUAUUACUAACACUCAGAGACGAAAGCUAGGGUAGCAAAUGGG
rnacentral:rRNA from 1 species